rnacentral:siRNA from 1 species
GCAACAGGCCACCCUGCA